UUCCAGACGAAGUUCAUUGUUGCA
rnacentral:rasiRNA from 1 species